rnacentral:rRNA from 1 species
UCCUACGGGGCGCAGCAGUGGGGAAUAUUGCACAAUGGGGGAAACCCUGAUGCAGCGACGCCGCGUGGGCGACGAAGCGCUCCGGCGCGUAAAGCCCUGUCAGCAGGGAAGAAAAAAGACAGUACCUGACCAAGAAGCCCCGGCUAACUACGUGCCAGCAGCCGCGGUAAUACGUAGGGAGCAAGCGUUGUUCGGAAUGACUGGGCGUAAAGGGUGCGUAGGCGGUUAUACAAGUUAGAAGUGAAAUACCCAGGGCUUAACUCGGGGGCUGCUUCUAAAACUGUAAGACUUGAGUACAGUAGAGG